UACGGGGGGGGCAAGCGUUGUUCGGAUUUACUGGGCGUAAAGGGCGCGUAGGCGGUCAGCACAAGUCAGUUGUGAAAUCUCCGGGCUUAACCCGGAAAGGUCAACUGAUACUGUGCGACUAGAGUGCGGAAGGGGCAACUGGAAUUCUCGGUGUAGCGGUGAAAUGCGUAGAUAUCGAGAGGAACACCUGCGGCGAAGGCGGGUUGCUGGGCCGACACUGACGCUGAGGCGCGAAAGCCAGGGGAGCGAACAGG
rnacentral:rRNA from 1 species